AAGUCGUAACAAGGUCUCCGUAGGUGAACCUGCGGAAGGAUCAUUACCAAAUACUCUUGCUUGCCUGGACCUCACCGUCCCUGCAGACUCGAAAACCCCCUCUGCGUACCUGUACCUGUUGCUUCCGCCAGCCUGUGGACGUCCUUUGCUGGGCUGCCCCUCCGGUGCCUGACCCUUCCUGGGUCGGCUGGAGAGCUGCUGGCGGCGAGCCAAACAACAAACACCUGUCACAUCAAUGAAAACGUCUGAGCUUCAAUGCUAAACAAACAAACAAGUUAAAA
rnacentral:misc_RNA from 1 species